CUCUUUAUGGCAGAUAAAGUGCAUUGAAUUUAAGAUUCAAAAAUAAACUUAGUUUUAAGGAGA
rnacentral:tRNA from 1 species